rnacentral:rRNA from 1 species
ACUCCUACGGGAGGCAGCAGUGGGGAAUAUUGGACAAUGGGCGAAAGCCUGAUCCAGCCAUGCCGCGUGUGUGAAGAAGGUCUUCGGAUUGUAAAGCACUUUAAGUUGGGAGGAAGGGCAGUAAGUUAAUACCUUGCUGUUUUGACGUUACCAACAGAAUAAGCACCGGCUAACUUCGUGCCAGCAGCCGCGGUAAUACGAAGGGGUGCAAGCGUUAAUCGGAAUUACUGGGCGUAAAGCGCGCGUAGGUGGUUCAGCAAGUUGGAUGUGAAAUCCCCGGGGCUCAACCUGGGAACUGCAUCCAAAACUACUGAGCUAGAGUACGGUAGAGGGUGGUGGAAUUUCCUGUGUAGCGGUGAAAUGCGUAGAUAUAGGAAGGAACACCAGUGGCGAAGGCGACCACCUGGACUGAUACUGACACUGAGGUGCGAAAGCGUGGGGAGCAAACAGGAUUAGAUA